rnacentral:lncRNA from 1 species
CCGGUUGAUAUAUUACAUUCAUGGUGGAGAAUUCUGAUAGACGGGCAAGGGCACUUUAGAUAAUAUUGAUGGUGAGCUUGUGCUUAUUUUGUUAAUAGUAGAACUAAGUUAGAUGGCAUACAAAAGUUUUGUGCAGAGUGUUUCUCAAUUGAUGUGCACAAGAUAACAUUUAGGUAUUUUGUCCUGGGGAGUAGGCGAAUUCUUGUGAGCUUAUUUAUUGAUGUUGAUAUUGAGAGGAUGUUGAAUGCACAUGAAGGUAUGAAUGAUGUACUCAUUCAAUUUGUUUAGUUACAUAUAUUUGCUUUAGUUAUAUUAAAUUUAUCAUAUGUGCAUUUAUAAAUGUAUCAGAGUAAUUCAAGGGUACAGAUACCUCCAAUCCUCUAAUGUUCUAGACUAUGGUGCUGAACAAAGUAAUGCACCAAAGUUGUUGAGUUCAUGGGAGGAUACACUAACUGAGAUAGGGCAGGAGUCAAUCACUCAAUGCCUUUUGUGAAUCCCUUAGCAAAUAUGCUAUAGCGUACCACUUUGCAUACCGUCUCGUUAAAAAUGAGGGGUAUCAUGUAAGCACGGGUGAUCGCUGCGAAUGGGAGAUAUAUAUAUGCAAGGUUGGCAGGACAAAUAUAUUUCGAAUCAAGAUAUGGACAUAAGAGCACUCAUGUAAUAUUGGAACAACCAAUAAUGUGCAGAAGAGAGCGUUAGAGAACUUUAUUGCUUCCCAAAUCAAGGAUAAAUUAAGUGACACUAAGCAUUAUAUUGCUAAAAAAAUCGUAAAUGAUUUGGGCGAAACAUUCGUUGAGGCAUAGAAAAUGAUGAAAUUAAAUAUGUACUUCAAUUUUUUGCUUGAAGUUGUAACAUGGUUUAAAGUUGUACUCGCCGGUUUUGGAUAAUGAAUUGUAUUUUCAUUUGCCUUAAUUGGUUACAUUGUAAAGGAAAAAAGAUAAUGAUGUUGUGUGAGUUGAAUUGUACUUCAAUUGUGUUUGUUUGCACCUUUAUAAUUAUAUUAAUUCUGAUGAAUCCCUUAUGGAGUAUAUGAUCCAAGUUGAUAGAGACUCUGGAUUAUGAGGCCGUAUUAAUGAUUUGUUGAGGAACUUGAGCCUUAUUAUCUUAAGGUUAACUUCUACCGUG